rnacentral:rRNA from 1 species
UACGAAGGGAGCGAGCGUUGUUCGGAAUCACUGGGCGUAAAGAGUACGUAGGCGGAUUAGAAAGUCAGAUGUGAAAGCCCAGGGCUCAACCCUGGAACUGCAUUUGAAACUUCUAGUCUAGAAUUUGGUAGAGGAUAACGGAAUUCCGAGUGUAGAGGUGAAAUUCGCAGAUAUUCGGAGGAACACCAGUUGCGAAGGCG